UCUUCGCUGUGUAAUUACCCAGCGCGAACCAAACCCCAAACCCUACUUUCUAACCCGUAAAACACGACGUUUGACAUUCCUUGUGAUCCUAAUCGCUUGAAAUCCAUGGAGAAACUGAUUAUUUGUCAUUAAUCGAUCCUUAAACUCCAUUUACUAAUCUAAUUAUUAACAAAUUCGAAUCACCAUUAAAGUUUCUUGAUGAGCAUUUGGGUUUUGUCAUUUUUCAUAAAAUCGGACUACCAUCUUUACACACUUCAAUCCUCUGAUCAAACCACGUAAAACCCCACUGAAAUUUCUCCAUUUCAUCACCUCUACAUCGCGAAUUUAAUCGAAGAACAUUCUAGGGCUUGUAACUUGCGCAGACGAUAUCUCCUUCAAUUCUUAACCUUUUCAGGGUGAUUUAGUCAAUUGUUAUUCCUCGUGUACUCGUGCGAUGAAUCUCGUGGAUUAACUCUUCGCAACCUGUUUUCAAAGUUGAUGAUCAAGUGAUAUGGACACGUAGCAUGGGCC